AGAGUUUGAUCCUGGCUCAGAACGAACGCUGGCGGCAGGCCUAAAACAUGCAAGUCGAACGAACCUUCGGGUUAGUGGCGCACGGGUGCGUAACGCGUGGGAAUAUGCCCUUCACUACGGAACAACGUCGGGAAACUGACGCUAAUACCGUAUAAUGUCUUCGGACCAAAGAUUUAUCGGUGAAGGAUUAGCCCGCGUCUGAUUAGCUAGUUGGUGAGGUAACGGCUCACCAAGGCGACGAUCAGUAGCUGGUCUGAGAGGAUGAUCAGCCACACUGGAACUGAGACACGGUCCAGACUCCUACGGGAGGCAGCAGUUAGGAAUAUUGGACAAUGGGGGAAACCCUGAUCCAGCCAUGCCGCGUGUGUGAAGAAGGCCUUAGGGUUGUAAAGCACUUUCAGCCGUGAAGAUAAUGACAGUAGCGGAAGAAGAAGCUCCGGCUAAAUUCGUGCCAGCAGCCGCGGUAAUACGAAUGGAGCGAGCGUUGUUCGGAAUCACUGGGCGUAAAGGGUGCGCAGGCGGUUGUGAAAGUCAGAAGUGAAAGCCCAGGGCUCAACCCUGGAAUUGCUUUUGAAACUCCACAACUAGAGUAUUGGAGAGGUUAGCGGAAUUCCGAGUGUAGAGGUGAAAUUCGCAGAUAUUCGGAGGAACACCAAUGGCGUAGGCAGCUAACUGGACAAUUACUGACGCUCAUGCACGAAAGCGUGGGGAUCAAACAGGAUUAGAUACCCUGGUAGUCCACGCCCUAAACGAUGUGUGCUAGUUGUCGGGCCCUUUAGGGUUCGGUGACGCAGCUAACGCUUUAAGCACACCGCCUGGGGAGUACGGUCGCAAGAUUAAAACUCAAAGGAAUUGACGGGGACCCGCACAAGCGGUGGAGCAUGUUGUUUAAUUCGAAGCAACGCGAAGAACCUUACCUACACUUGACAUGCCCUUUAGGACUUUCAGAGAUGAUUGUUUUCAGUUCGGCUGGGAGGAGCACAGGUGCUGCAUGGCUGUCGUCAGCUCGUGUCGUGAGAUGUUGGGUUAAGUCCCGCAACGAGCGCAACCCUUAUCGUAUGUUGCCAUCAUUCAGUUGGGCACUCAUGCGAGACUGCCGGUGAUAAGCCGGAGGAAGGCGGGGACGACGUCAAGUCAUCAUGGCCCCUUACGUGUAGGGCUACAAACGUGCUACAAUGGUGGUGACAGUGGCACUGAGGCUGCGAGGCCAAAGUAAUCCCUAAAAGCCAUCUCAGUUCAGAUUGUAGUCUGCAACUCGACUACAUGAAGUUGGAAUCGCUAGUAAUCGUGGAUCAGCAUGCCACGGUGAAUACGUUCCCGGGUCUUGUACACACCGCCCGUCACACCAUGGGAGUUGGUUUUACCCGAAGGCGCUGCGCUAACUACGGAGGCAGGCGACCACGGUAGGAUUAAUGACUGGGGUGAAGUCGUAACAAGGUAGCCGUUUCGGAAGGAGCGGCUG
rnacentral:rRNA from 1 species